GAUGAACGCUGGCGGCGUGCCUAAUACAUGCAAGUCGAGCGAACAGAUGAGGAGCUUGCUCCUCUGACGUUAGCGGCGGACGGGUGAGUAACACGUGGAUAACCUACCUAUAAGACUGGGAUAACUACGGGAAACCGGAGCUAAUACCGGAUAAUAUAUUGAACCGCAUGGUUCAAUAGUGAAAGACGGUUUUGCUGUCACUUAUAGAUGGAUCCGCGCCGCAUUAGCUAGUUGGUAAGGUAACGGCUUACCAAGGCAACGAUGCGUAGCCGACCUGAGAGGUUGAUCGGCCACACUGGAACUGAGACACGGUCCAGACUCCUACGGGAGGCAGCAGUAGGGAAUCUUCCGCAAUGGGCGAAAGCCUGACGGAGCAACGCCGCGUGAGUGAUGAAGGUCUUCGGAUCGUAAAACUCUGUUAUUAGGGAAGAACAAAUGUGUAAGUAACUAUGCACGUCUUGACGGUACCUAAUCAGAAAGCCACGGCUAACUACGUG
rnacentral:rRNA from 1 species